rnacentral:rRNA from 1 species
UGGGCAACCUGCCCCUCUCUCUGGGAUAACCCCCGGGGAAACCGGGGCUAAUACUGGAUAUGACUCGAACAGGCAUCUGUUUCGGGUGGAAAGAUUUAUUGGUGGAGGAUGGACUCGCGGCCUAUCAGCUUGUUGGUGAGGUAAUGGCUCACCAAGGCAACGACGGGUAGCCGGCCUGAGAGGGCGACCGGCCACACUGGGACUGUGACACGGCCCAGACCUCCGUACGGGAGGCA